rnacentral:rRNA from 1 species
UACGGAGGGGGCUAGCGUUGUUCGGAAUUACUGGGCGUAAAGCGCACGUAGGCGGCUUUGUAAGUUAGAGGUGAAAGCCCGGGGCUCAACUCCGGAAUUGCCUUUAAGACUGCAUCGCUAGAAUUGUGGAGAGGUAAGUGGAAUUCCGAGUGUAGAGGUGAAAUUCGUAGAUAUUCGGAAGAACACCGGUGGCGAAAGCGCUCUACUGGGCCUGCACUGACACUGAGGGACGAAAGCUAGGGGAGCGAAAGGG